UGGUCAGCAACAUAACAGAAUCCCCUUUCCUUCUUAGGCAAAAUAUACUUUUCAUUUUUAUCACAGUGGGAGUCAGAGCCUUUGAGAAAGUAUUCAGAUAAAUGCGAACCCGUGGAAGGUUAACAAGAAAGACAAAAAGAAGGACAUGAUGCAGGCUUCAUGCUUUUUUAUGUUACUCUGAUUCGUGAUAAGCAAACUUCAAUGUGUGUUUAAAAUCUUGAGGAUUUAUAUUAUUAACCAAACAAGAAUUUUUACAAUCAGGGAA
rnacentral:lncRNA from 1 species